rnacentral:rRNA from 1 species
UACGGAGGGGGCGAGUGUUGUUCGGAAUUACUGGGCGUAAAGAGCUCGUAGGCGGUUUGUCGCGUCGGGAGUGAAAACCAUGAGCUUAACUCAUGGCUUGCUUUCGAUACGGGCAGACUGGAGGUAUGCAGGGGAGAACGGAAUUCCUGGUGUAGCGGUGAAAUGCGCAGAUAUCAGGAGGAACACCGGUGGCGAAGGCGGUUCUCUGGGCAUUACCUGACGCUGAGGAGCGAAAGUGUGGGGAGCGAACAGG